UGACAACCUAGAAGGGAACAAAAAAACCUGUCCAACAAGAACCACGAUUCAGCCAGCUGAUUAUAUACGCAUCCAACAUCGAACAGAAUAAAUGAAGAUGGUGGCUAAAACGUGUUGGUGGAACAUACCUUGAAGAGAUAGCUGAGAAAAUUAGCUUGUUGUUGGUGUAAAUAAGUAGCAACACUAGUACUCACAGUCACAUGGUGCUGUUGUGCUGGCACCUUUUGAGAAGAAAAUCAACUGAUUAGCUGAUGUAGUGUAUAUAGGUGUGAUAAGAGGUGUUAAGUUUUGUGUGAAUAAGGAUUGUGAAAACUAAGCACCUGCAGGAUUUGUACUAUCAACUGAAAGCAUGAAGGAUGAAACAGAUAAAA
rnacentral:lncRNA from 1 species